CCUACGGGAGGCAGCAGUGGGGGAUAUUGCACAAUGGGGGAAACCCUGAUGCAGCGACGCCGCGUGAGUGAAGAAGUAUUUCGGUAUGUAAAGCUCUAUCAGCAGGGAAGAAAAUGACGGUACCUGACUAAGAAGCCCCGGCUAACUACGUGCCAGCAGCCGCGGUAAU
rnacentral:rRNA from 1 species